rnacentral:rRNA from 1 species
UGGGGGAAUAUUGGACAAUGGGGGCAACCCUGAUCCAGCAAUGCCGCGUGUGUGAAGAAGGUCUUCGGAUCGUAAAGCACUUUCGACGGGGACGAUGAUGACGGUACCCGUAGAGGAAGCCCCGGCUAACUUCGUGCCAGCAGCCGCGGUAAUACGAAGGGGGCUAGCGUUGCUCGGAAUGACUGGGCGUAAAGGGCGUGUAGGCGGUUUACACAGUCAGAUGUGAAAUCCCCAGGCUU